rnacentral:rRNA from 1 species
UACGAAGGGGGCUAGCGUUGCUCGGAAUCACUGGGCGUAAAGCGCACGUAGGCGGAUCGCUAAGUCAGGGGUGAAAUCCUGGAGCUCAACUCCAGAACUGCCUUUGAUACUGGCAAUCUCGAGUCCGGGAGAGGUGAGUGGAACUGCGAGUGUAGAGGUGGAAUUCGUAGAUAUUCGCAAGAACACCAGUGGCGAAGGCGGCUCACUGGCCCGGUACUGACGCUGAGGUGCGAAAGCGUGGGGAGCAAACAGG